UAUUUUGAGAGUUUGAUCCUGGCUCAGGAUGAACGCUGGCGGCGUGCCUAACACAUGCAAGUCGAGCGAUUUACUUCGGUAAAGAGCGGCGGACGGGUGAGUAACGCGUGGGUAACCUGCCCUGUACACACGGAUAACAUACCGAA
rnacentral:rRNA from 1 species